UGGGGAAUAUUGGACAAUGGGGGCAACCCUGAUCCAGCAAUGCCGCGUGUGUGAAGAAGGUCUUCGGAUUGUAAAGCACUUUCGACGGGGACGAUGAUGACGGUACCCGUAGAAGAAGCCCCGGCUAACUUCGUGCCAGCAGCCGCGGUAAUACGAAGGGGGCUAGCGUUGCUCGGAAUGACUGGGCAUAAAGGGCGUGUAGGCGGUUUACACAGUCAGAUGUGAAAUCCCCGGGCUUAACCUGGGAGCUGCAUUUGAUACGUGUAGACUAGAGUGUGAGAGAGGGUUGUGGAACUCCCAGUGUAGAGGUGAAAUUCGUAGAUAUUGGGAAGAACACCGGUGGCGAAGGCGGCAACCUGGCUCAUGACUGACGCUGAGGCGCGAAAGCGUGGGGAGCAAACAGGAUUAGAUACCCUGGUAGUCCACGCUGUAAACGAUGUGUGCUAGAUGUUGGGUAACUUUGUUAUUCAGUGUCGCAGUUAACGCGU
rnacentral:rRNA from 1 species